AUUGAACGCUGGCGGCAGGCCUAACACAUGCAAGUCGAACGAGCGGCGGACGGGUUAGUAAUGUCUGGGAAUCUGCCUGAUGGAGGGGGAUCACUACUGGAAACGGUAGCUAAUACCGCAUACCAUCAGAUGUGCCCAUAUGGGAUUAGCUAGUUGGUGGGGUAAAGGCUCACCUAGGCGACGAUCCCUAGCUGGUCUGAGAGGAUGACGAGCCACACUGGAACUGAGACAAGGUCCAGACUCCUACGGGAGGCAGCAGUGGGGAAUAUUGCACAAUGGGCGAAAGCCUGAUGCAGCCAUGCCGCGUGUAUGAAGAAGGCCUUCGGGUUGUAAAGUACUUUCAGCGGGGAGGCGUUACCCGCAGAAGAAGCACCGGCUAACUCCGUGCCAGCAGCCGCGGUAAUAC
rnacentral:rRNA from 1 species